rnacentral:rRNA from 1 species
GACGAACGCUGGCGGCGUGCCUAAUACAUGCAAGUAGAACGCAGUUGCGAAAGGGUGAGUAACGCGUAGGUAACUGCCUAAUAGCGGGGGAUAACUAUUGGAAACGAUAGCUAAUACCGCAUACUGUGAGAUGGAACUGCGUUGUAUUAGCUAGUUGGGGGGGAAAAGGCUCACAAAGGCGACGGUCAAUAGCCGACCUGAGAGGAUGAUCGGCCACACUUGUACUGAGACACGGCCCAGACUCCUACGGGAGGCAGCAGUGGGGAGUCUUCGGCAAUGGACGGAAGUCUGACCGAGCAACGCCGCGUGAGUGAAGAAGGUUUUCGGAUCGUAAAACUCUUUUAUUAGAGAAGCGGUAUCUAACCAGAAAGCCACGGCUAACUACGUGCCAGCCGCCGCGGUAAUAC